CCCCCGGGUACAAAUAUCAUAUUUGUUCACUUGUGGAGAGACCUACCCAUAGAGAACACUCAACUUUUGAAUUAAGCCUAUGCCUAGGCGUGAAUUCGGUUGAAGAGUUACAAGAGUGGCUUCUAAAGACUAAAGACACUGGAGUGCCAUGGAGGGUCAGCAUAACAACACCCAGGAAAGGACAUACAAUUACUCUCAAGGCUGAUUACAGAUGCCGUCACAAGAUUUAUAGUAGAUCCCCCAACAAGGGAACAUCAAAAAACACUUGCUGGCCCCCCAAAAUGAGUAUCACUCUGAUACGCUGUGUCACCGGAAAGGGGAGGCUGAGCAGGAGCAAGGACCCACAUCUUCCUAUGUAUCCAGCCAUGGUGUGUGUAUCCAAUGUCCACAACCACAAUCUCUUUGUGGCUGAUGCACUUAAACACCGGGAUAUUGAAGUCAAAGCCACAGAGACCUUGUCAAGGCUAUUUGAGAUUGGGCACUCCCUUUUAUCAGA
ensembl:lncRNA